rnacentral:rRNA from 1 species
CCUACGGGAGGCAGCAGUAGGGAAUAUUGCGCAAUGGAGGAAACCCUGAACCAGCAACGCCGCGUGAAGGAAGAAGGCUUUCGGGUUGUAAACUUCUUUUACCAGGGACGAUAGUGACGGUACCUGGUGAAUAAGCUCCGGCUAACUACGUGCCAGCAGCCGCGGUAAU